ACAGCAGCCGCGGUAAUACGGAGGGUGCAAGCGUUGUUCGGAAUCACUGGGCGUAAAGGGCGUGUAGGCGGUCCGCUAAGUCUGAUGUGAAAGCCCGAGGCUUACCCUCGGAAGUGCAUUGGAGACUGGCGGACUGGAGUCCCGGAGAGGAGGGUGGAAUUCCUGGUGUAGCGGUGAAAUGCGUAGAUAUCAGGAGGAACACCGGUGGCGAAGGCGGCCCUCUGGACGGUGACUGACGCUGAGACGCGAAAGCGUGGGGAGCAAACAGGAUUAGAUACCCUGGUAGUCCACGCUGUAAACGAUGAGCACUAGGUGUCGCGGGUAUUGACCCCUGCGGUGCCGACGCUAACGCAUUAAGUGCUCCGCCUGGGGAGUACGGUCGCAAGAUUAAAACUCAAAGAAAUUGACGG
rnacentral:rRNA from 1 species